rnacentral:rRNA from 1 species
GAUGAACGCUGGCGGCGUGCCUAAUACAUGCAAGUCGAGCGAACAGACGCGGAGCUUGCUCCUCUGACGUUAGCGGCGGACGGGUGAGUAACACGUGGAUAACCUACCUAUAAGACUGGGAUAACUUCGGGAAACCGGAGCUAAUACCGGAUAAUAUAUUGAACCUCAUGGUUCAAUAGUGAAAGACGGUUUUGCUGUCACUUAUAGAUGGAUCCGCGCCGCAUUAGCUAGUUGGUAAGGUAACGGCUUACCCAGGCGACGAUGGGUAGCCGACCUGAGAGGGUGAUCGGCCACACUGGAACUGAGACGCGGUACAGACUCCGACGGGAGGCAGCAGUAGGGAAUCGUCCGAAAAGGGGGAAAGACUGAAGGAGCAAAGCCGCGUGAGUGAUGAAGGGCUUCGGAUCGGAAAACGCUGUUAUUAGGGAAGAACAAAUGUGUAAGUAACUAUGCACGUCUUGACGGUACCUAAUCAGAAAGCCACGGCUAACUACGUG